rnacentral:rRNA from 1 species
UACAGAGGGUGCGAGCGUUGUUCGGAAUUAUUGGGCGUAAAGGGCGCGUAGGCGGUGCGGUAAGUCACUUGUGAAAUCUCCUGGCUCAACUGGGAGCUUGCAGGCGAAACUGCCGUGCUGGAGUGUGGGAGAGGUGCGUGGAAUUCCCGGUGUAGCGGUGAAAUGCAUUGAGAUCGGAAAGAACACCAACGGCGAAAGCACUCUGCUGGGCCGACACUGACACUGAGAGACGAAAGCUAGGGGAGCAAAUGGG